rnacentral:rRNA from 1 species
AUGGACUUGACGCAUGAAAGGUCUUCGGUGCCACGGUACUUGUCAGAUCAUCAUGCAGACGUUCUUUCGAAGAGGAACUUGUCGCGUCCCAAAAUGAGCAAGGCAAAAGCCCUCCUUCAAAGAAGCUCGAACUUGACGAAAUCCACAAACAGGACUUGGCGCGGGCGUGACGAUGCAAAGGAAAUGUGCGGCGGACGCUGCUGUUCAUCUGCUUCGAGCAGAGGCGAGGCCAUGGUGGAUGCAGACGAUGACGCAGCAGCAGACUUGACACCGGGGAGCAGCAGAGGGACUACGAUGAACAACAUGAUGCAGGUUGGGCGGCGGAGCUUGACGGGUCCAGGCGAGGUCGCCGGCAGCAGGGGCUGCGACGUGGCCGGGCGCCGGGUCUGGUGGUGCGGCGCGAGGAAGGAGAGGCCGGCAGGGGCGCGGCAAACCAUGGAGGCCGGCGGUGCCAUGGCCAUGGGGAUCGGCGCGAGGAGGGGACGAAGGAGCUCGCUAAGGCGCGGCAUCCAGAGAAGCAGCGGGCGAAGCCGACGCUCCGGCGUUGUUGCUCCUCUCCUCGUGGAGCUCCUGGACGAGGGGGCUCGGGAACUCGGCGCGCGAGGCUGCAGGAAGGUCCGGCGGAGCUCAUGA